GACGAACGCUGGCGGCGUGCCUAAUACAUGCAAGUCGAACGCAUUUUCUUUCACCGUAGCUUGCUACACCGAAAGAAAAUGAGUGGCGAACGGGUGAGUAACACGUGGGUAACUGGCCAUCCACCGGGGGAUAACCUUUGGAAACAGGUGCUAAUACCGCAUAUUUCCAUUUCCCCCUGGUUAGAUAGAUGAAGGGCGUUUUGGGGCCCCGGUUGGUUGGCCCCGCGGUGCAUUAGCUAGUGGGGGGGGUAACGGCUUACCAAGGCUGCGAUGCAUAGCCGACCUGAGAGGGUGAUCGGCCACACUGGGACUGAGACACGGCCCAGACUCCUACGGGAGGCAGCAGUAGGGAAUCUUCGGCAAUGGACGCAAGUCUGACCGAGCAACGCCGCGUGAGUGAAGAAGGUUUUCGGAUCGUAAAACUCUGUUGUUAGAGAAGAACAAGGAUGAGAGUGGAAAGUUCAUCCCUUGACGGUAUCUAACCAGAAAGCCACGGCUAACUACGUG
rnacentral:rRNA from 1 species